AACGAACGCUGGCGGCAGGCCUAAAACAUGCAAGUCGAGCGGGCAUAGCAAUAUGUCAGCGGCGGACGGGUGAAUAACACGUGGGAACAUGCCCUUUGGUACGGAACAACUCAGGGAAACUUGAGCUAAUACCGUAUGUGCCGGUAACGGGAAAGAUUUAUCGCCAAAGGAUUGGCCCGCGUCCGAUUAGCUAGUUGGUGAGGUAACGGCUCACCAAGGCGACGAUCGGUAGCUGGUUUGAGAGAACGAUCAGCCACACUGGGACUGAGACACGGCCCAGACUCCUACGGGAGGCAGCAGUUGGGAAUCUUGGACAAUGGGGGAAACCCUGAUCCAGCCAUGCCGCGUGAGCGAUGAAGGCCCUCGGGUUGUAAACCCCUUUGGCAGGGACGAAGCGAACGUGACGGUACCUGCAGAAGAAGUCCCGGCUAACUACGUGCCAGCAGCCGCCGUAAG
rnacentral:rRNA from 1 species